GACGAACGCUGGCGGCGUGCUUAACACAUGCAAGUCGAACGGAAAGGCCUCUUUCGGGGGGUACUCGAGUGGCGAACGGGUGAGUAACACGUAAGUAACCUGCCCUUGACUUUGGGAUAACUUCAGGAAACUGGGGCUAAUACCGGAUAGGAGCUCCUGCUGCAUGGUGGGGGUUGGAAAGUUUCGGCGGUUGGGGAUGGACUCGCGGCUUAUCAGCUUGUUGGUGGGGUAGUGGCUUACCAAGGCUUUGACGGGUAGCCGGCCUGAGAGGGUGACCGGCCACAUUGGGACUGAGAUACGGCCCAGACUCCUACGGGAGGCAGCAGUGGGGAAUAUUGCACAAUGGGUGGAAGCCUGAUGCAGCAACGCCGUGUGCGGGAUGACGGCCUUCGGGUUGUAAACCGCUUUCGCUCAUGACGAAGCUUUGUGUGACGGUAGUGGGUAAAGAAGCACCGGCUAACUACGUG
rnacentral:rRNA from 1 species